rnacentral:misc_RNA from 1 species
CCAAUAGCGUAUAUUAAAGUUGUUGCAGUUAAAAAGCUCGUAGUUGAAUUUCGGGAUCAGUACGCUGGUCGUGCCUUCGGUAUGUACUGGUGUUACUGGUUCCUACCUUCUGACGAACCGUCAUGUCAUUAAUUUGGUGUGGCGGGAAAUCAGGACUGUUACUUUGAAAAAAUUAGAGUGUUUAAAGCAGGCUCGCGCUUGAAUACAUUAGCAUGAAAUAAUGAAAUAGGACGUUCGAUCCUAUUUUGUUGGUUUCUAGGAUUGACGUAAUGAUUAAUAGGGAUAGUUGGGGGCAUUAGUAUUCAAUUGUCAGAGGUGAAAUUCUUGGAUUUAUUGAAGACUAACUACUGCGAAAGCAUUUGCCAAGGAUGUUUUCAUUAAUCAAGAACGAAAGUUAGGGGAUCGAAGACGAUCAGAUACCGUCGUAGUCUUAACCAUAAACUAUGCCGUCUAGGGAUCGGAUGAUGUUAUUUUUAAUGACUCAUUCGGCGCCUUACG